AGCGAACGCUGGCGGCAGGCUUAACACAUGCAAGUCGAGCGGGCCCUUCGGGGUCAGCGGCAGACGGGGGAGUAACACGUGGGAACGUACCCUUUGGUUCGGAAUAACGCUGGGAAACGAGCGCUAAUACCGGAUACGCCCUUUUGGGGCAAGGCUUGCUGCCGAAGUAGCGGCCCGCGUCAGAUUAGCUAGUUGGGGGGGUAAUGGACUACCAAGGCGACGAUCAGUAGCUGGUCUGAGAGGAUGAUCAGCCACCCCGGGACUAGGACACGGCCCGGACUCUUCCGGGAGGGGCCAGUGGGGAAUAUUGCACCGUGGCCGCAGGCCUGAUCCUCCCCUGCCGCGUGAGCGAUGAAGGCCUUAGGGUUGUAAAGCUUUUUUGUCCCGGCCCGUCUUGACGGUACCUAAAGAAUAAGCCCCGGCUAACUUCGUG
rnacentral:rRNA from 1 species